rnacentral:rRNA from 1 species
GGGGAAUUUUCCGCAAUGGGCGAAAGCCUGACGGAGUGAUGCCGCGUGGGGGAUGAAGGCCUUCGGGUUGUAAACCCCUGUCAGAGGGAAAGAAGGGCCGGCGUGUGAAUAGCGCGUCGGUCUGACGGUACCUUCAGAGCAAGCCCCGGCCAACUCUGUGCCAGCAGCCGCGGUAAGACAGAGGGGGCAAGCGUUGCUCGGAAUCACUGGGCGUAAAGGGCGCGUAGGCGGGAUGACAAGUCGGUCGUGAAAUCCCUGGGCUCAACUCAGGGGGGUCGGCCGAUACUGCCAUUCUUGAGGGAUGCAGAGGAGACUGGAAUUCCCGGUGUAGCGGUGAAAUGUGUAGAGAUCGGGAGGAACACCGGUGGCGAAGGCGGGUCUCUGGGCAUUCCCUGACGCUGAGGCGCGAAAGCGUGGGGAGCAAAC